UGUGUUGUAGUUUAUAUUGACAUUUUGAUGUGUCCUGCUUUGGAAGUUUUAUUUUGAUUCUUUUCGGAUGUGUAUAUAUGAUGUCGGAUUGAAAUUCUGGUUAUUCACCUGAGAAGAUUUAGUCAUUCUUGUUUUCUGAUAUUGGCUUAUUGCUUGAGAGAAUAAUAAGCAUUUUGUUUAGCCUGCACCACCUCUACAUGUCAUCAGAUGUACCAACUUGGCACAUGUAUGAGAUGUUCGAGCCUUGAAUGAGGAGGGCUCCAUGCGCAGAUGGCCUGAUGCAAAAUUAUGCUGGUCCACUCUUCAGAAAGACCACAUAUGUAUGUUGAAUGUGAGUGGUUGGAAAUUCUUUUUUACAUGCGUGACCCACCUGAUGGGCGGACUGCCUUAUUUUUUGCAUUGGGUCACCUUGCAGAAUGGCGCUCAACUGCUGCACAGUUGGGAUGGCAUGUUCAGCCACAUUUAGAGGCGUGUGCAGGCUAGGGAAAGCUCUUUUGGGUUAUCUGUGAAAUGCCCUAUUUUUUGUCUUUAAAUUGCUAGCAUUGGAGCUGACUUUGUACGUAGUAGGGUGUUGCAAGGCAACCACUUUCAAAGUUGUCCAACCAUUAUAGAAGCACAAGAUGCUCCUGCACUGAAUUAUCUUUUUGGUGAUAUAAGAAUAAAAAUAGUUUUCAUUUCUGAAAAGAGGUUCGAGAUGCCUUCAAAUAUAUCAAAUCUCUCAGAGUACCCUUGUUGAAUAUAUCACAAUGUGGGUAUGGGUAUUGGACCUGUGUUGGAUGUGACUUAUCAUAAUAAUUUUGUUUUAAAAAAUAAUUUAAAAACCUAUAAGACUUAAAAACUAAUAAAAUAUUCGACAAUAGAAAAUCUAAAAUGCUUAUGGGGGUCAAACAAGUCCAACACCUAGAGCUCUACCCAUACCUGAUAGCUGCAUCAUUAUCUGAGUACGUCGAAGCCACAAAAUUCAAUUGCUUGCUGCUAAUAAUGCCCUUGUAAACCUUGAGUCGGCUGUGAAAAACAUUGAGGGGGAAAACAUUGAAACGAGGCCUUAAGUUUACAGUCUAUGGAAAUUGCCUCGAUAUAGAAUAGUUCUAGUACAAAGAUCUGGUGGUCCUCUCCAUCCAAAUGAACCAUAGAAUAGCAAGAGAGAGUGUCCACAGAGACUGUUUGUCUCUUCAACAAAAGUAUGGUGCAAAUCCUUACAAGAACCUCUCAUGAAUUGGGGUGGUUGAGGAAAGGCACAUCAUAAAGAAUAACAAAUGCUUUGUGACAGCUACAUUCAUACUCUUCUUUAUGAAUAAACAUAAUUUUGACAAGUUAUGGCUCCAAUCAGAACCCCAAGGUUCCCAUUCAAAAAAAUAUGAACCCUGAUAUUUUCCUUCACCAAAAUGUCAUCUCUUUGUGCAAGCAAAUCUACCAGUUUCCUUCAUGUUUAUGUGAAUGUUGCCAAGCUACAAAUGGAACAAUAUAUGCCGCAUAUUUAUAAUGUCCAAUGUUAUAACUUUUACUAUGGACUGCAUAAUACACAUAAUAUUUACUCUGCUACUUUUCAUUGCCCUUUCUUAAUCUGCCCAAGUGAUGUUCAUGAUAUGGCCGAUCCACUAAAUUUCAAGCUGAUUAUGGGUUUUCAAAGCUCUAUUCACAUUUUACACUUAUGAGUUCAGUAAUUACUUAUCGCCAGAAACUAAGUUCACAAUCAAUUGGCAAUUCUUCUCUAUCUAACAAAAAUUUGGAUUGCAUAGUUGACAAUUAAUUUCAUGGUAAUCUAUAAAGUUAAAAUUGCACAAUUGAGCUGGAUUGGACUAUGAAUUUGAUUAGGGAGAAUCCACUAUGAGUCUCCAUCUCCUGAGUUCUGAGAGUUUUGAAUAUAAAAGGAUAGGGUUGUGGUUGAUAUGGAAUGGCAUUUUAUGCCUUUGCGUAGAAUUUAUUGGAAUUAUAGAACUAUAUGAAUCCAAGGUGCGAAUCUGUUGGAGGCCUCUUGAAAAAUGAAACUCCUCACAAGUUAACCCUGCUUUCCUCAAGUUGUCAAACUUGCAUUGGCUACCUGGGUCAUAAAAGCUUUCUAUAAUGUCUUAGAUUUAGGACUUCAGUCCCCGAACAUGGCCAAGCAUGAAUAUAGGGCAGCUCCAGAAAGCAAUUGAUGAUAAACUAAGUAGAAGGAGACUGUUUCUUUCCACUAGCCCAUUUCAUAACAUUUGGCUACAACACAGCGGAGUAGGAACGAACUCAAUUCUCAAAGCUGAGGAAUCUAGCAAGGAUGGAGUUCCAUAAGGUUC